CAAUCCACAGAAUCAUGCUUUGUCUGAUAUAAGCUUCAUAUCGUUGAAAAAAUUGAGGAAGAUACAGUAUUAUACAUUCUUAUAAAACUUGCUGUCGGUUCUGAUGAAUGGAAGCAGGAGGAGGAGAUGAGUGUUUGUAUUCCUUCAGAUUGAGGAGA
rnacentral:lncRNA from 1 species